UGUUGGUUCAUGUCCUGGCUGCUUCACUUUUGAUCCUGCUCCCUGCUAAUGGCCUGAGAAAGCAGUGCAAGAUGGCUCAUGAGCUUAGGCCCCUGAACUCAUCUAGGAGACCUGAAUGAAGAUCCUGGCUUCUGGUUUUGGCCUGGCCCAGUGCUGUCCAUUAUGGUCAUCUGUAAGCGAACAAGCAGUUGGAAGAUCUUUUUCUUUCGCUUUGUCUAUUCCUCUCUCUCUUUGUAAUUGGACUUUGAAAAUGAUUCUGAAGGUUGAAUCCUGAAAUCAAGGUUCUUGCCAGGCCAUGCUACAUAACAAGCUUCUGGGAUCAAAUUUCAACACAUUAUAUCAUGGAAAGCCCUCAAACCAUUGCCAAACCACAGAAGAAACAGACUUACUCUCUACCUGAGUCAAGCAGAGUAUUUGGAAUGGACAUGAUGAUUCACCUCCCUACCAAGAAUAUUUUUUAUUAGAGCAUCAUUUUGAAUCAUCUUCUUGGUAAUGUACCUGUGGAAGAUAGCAGAGGAUGGCCAAGUACCUGGACCACUGCCACCCUCUUGGGAGACCUGGAUAGAGUUCCUGGCUUCUGGAUUUGGCUUACUCUAGCCCUGCCUAUUGUCUUUCAAAUAAAUGAAUUUUUAAAAAGUAAAAUUUUGCCUGAAAUAUAAUUAUCCUACUCCUUUGUUUGCCUUUUGACUUUUUUAUGCUUAUUCAUUUUU